UUAAAAGAGGGGGUCUAAAAGACCUGCUAACUCUUUAACCUGGUACUAACCACCCAGCCU
rnacentral:tRNA from 1 species